rnacentral:rRNA from 1 species
GUGGGGAAUAUUGGACAAUGGGCGAAAGCCUGAUCCAGCCAUGCCGCGUGUGUGAAGAAGGUCUUCGGAUUGUAAAGCACUUUAAGUUGGGAGGAAGGGCAGUAAGUUAAUACCUUGCUGUUUUGACGUUACCGACAGAAUAAGCACCGGCUAACUUCGUGCCAGCAGCCGCGGUAAUACGAAGGGUGCAAGCGUUAAUCGGAAUUACUGGGCGUAAAGCGCGCGUAGGUGGUUUUGUAAGUUGGAGGUUAACGCCCCGGGCUAAACCUGGGAACUGCCUCCAAAACUGCAUGACUAGAGUACGGUAGAGGGUAGUGGAAUUUCCUGUGUAGCGGUGAAAUGCGUAGAUAUAGGAAGGAACACCAGUGGCGAAGGCGACUACCUGGACUGAUACUGACACUGAGGUGCGAAAGCGUGGGGAGCAAACAGGAUUAGAUACCCGAGUAGUCC